GCUGACCUGCGGAAGGAUCAUUG
rnacentral:rRNA from 1 species